rnacentral:rRNA from 1 species
UGAGGAAUAUUGGUCAAUGGGCGCAAGCCUGAACCAGCCAUCCCGCGUACAGGAAGACGGCCCUAUGGGUUGUAAACUGCUUUUCCAGGGGGAGAAACUUGCGCACGUGUUGCGCAAUUGACGGUACCCUGGGAAUAAGCAUCGGCUCACUCCGUGCCAGCAGCCGCGGUAAUACGGAGGAUGCGAGCGUUAUCCGGAUUCAUUGGGUUUAAAGGGUGCGUAGGCGGACUAUUAAGUCAGUGGUGAAAUCCUGCAGCUUAACUGCAGAACUGCCAUUGAUACUGAUAGCCUUGAGUUUGGUGAAGGUAGGCGGAAUGUGUAAUGUAGCGGUGAAAUGCUUAGAUAUUACACAGAACACCAAUUGCGUAGGCAGCUUACUGAGCCGACACUGACGCUGAGGCACGAAAGCGUGGGGAUCGAACA